GAUGAACGCUGGCGGCGUGCCUAACACAUGCAAGUCGAGCGGCAGCGCGGGGUGCUUGCACCCUGUCGGCGAGCGGCGGACGGCUGAGUAACGCGUGGGAACGUGCCCCAAAGUGAGGAAUAACUGCCCGAAAGGGUAGCUAAUACCGCAUAUUAUCUUCGGAUCAAAGGAUUUAUCCGCUUUGGGAGCGGCUCGCGUCGGAUUAGGUAGUUGGUGAGGUAAUGCUCACCAAGCCGACGAUCCGUAGCUGGUCUGAGAGGAUGACCAGCCAGACUGGAACUGAGACACGGUCCAGACUCCUACGGGAGGCAGCAGUGAGGAAUCUUCCACAAUGGGCGAAAGCCUGAUGGAGCAACGCCGCGUGCAGGACGAAGGCCUUCGGGUUGUAAACUGCUUUUAUAAGUGAGGAAUAUGACGGUAACUUAUGAAUAAGAAUCGGCUAACUACGUG
rnacentral:rRNA from 1 species